GAUCAAAACAUCCAGAGAAAUCCAAAAACCAGAGUCAGGCAGAGUCAAUAUUCAAACAACAGGAAUUCUGCAGAUGCUGGAAAUUCAAGCAACACACAUAAAAGUUGCUGGUGAACGCAGCAGGCCAGGCAGCAUCUCUAGGAAGAGGUGCAGUCGACGUUUCAGGCCGAGACCCUUCGUCAGGACUAACUGAAGGAAGAGAAACUAACUCCUACACAAUGGAACUCCUCUGCAGUUGUACUUGGAAUUCUGAUUACAUCCAUUCCUUUUUUGGUGAUUUUAUUCCGAGUCAAAAAAUUAUGCGUUCCAGUGCCAAUCCAGGAUUCAAGUGUUGAGAAUGAGAAUGAACCAUUAAACCAUGAUGGAAAAGAUCUCAUGACACUAUUUCAAAGAUAAAUAAAAUUAUCCCUGGUAGCCUGGCCAAUACUUGUCUCUCAGUCAACAUCUGCAAAAAUACUGAUUACCCAGUCAAUAUUGGAUUGCCCUUUUGGAGUGUUUACUGGACUAAAUUUGGCUGCUGUUGCAAUUUCUGCAUUGCAACAGUAACUAUGCUUCAGGAAGUAUUUUUAGGCAGUUCCAGAGAUGGGAACCAGCUGAGGUUGUUCCACAGAAAUCAGAAGUACUUGCAUCUGCUGAAAGCACAAAGCUAAAAGAAAAACAUAAAAAUAUUAGCAAAAUAGAAGAUUCAGCUACGAUCAAAGGUUCUGCCUGGGUAUGUUGGCCUGGUGGGGAACUGAAAGGCCAAAUGCAGAGGAGACCGAUGUUUGAAAGAAAAUGUGUCCAUCCUACUUCGAUUACUUGUUACUUUAUGGGGCAAAAACAAUAUUCCAAAAUAUUGCAAGAUUCGCCACAUGGAUUAAACCGAACACAACCAUUAAAGCACAAGAGCAGGAAUGACUCAAGGGCUGAAUUAAAUAUUUAUGAUUUGGAAGCGGAGCUAGAUGAUGCCCACAGGCCCCAGGAGAACACACACAACCGUUUACAGUCCAAUACCAAUCAGAAUCCUGCUCUGGUUAAUGAUGCUGAGGAAGACAGAGAGAAAACAAAGAUAUUUGUAUUCAGUGCAAGCGAGCCAAAAGAAUCUGAUGUUAAUGUUUUGCCCAUGGCUAAACAUCUGAACGUUCAGCGAAAACACUUCAUUUCCAGUUCACAGUAUAGGUUACCACUUUGUAAGUAUAGUGUUUGCCAAUUUAAAAAGCUGGAGUAGACAGUUGAGGGGAAAUUUAAUAAAAGCACUGGAAAUUAUGGAGGCUUUGAUAGUAGAGUGAAUUAACAAGAAAAUGUAACUGUUAUUACAAAGGUUUAAAUAAUGACACCAAUUUAAGGCAUUUACUAAAAGGACCAAAUGGAAGAGGAAAGAACUUUUUAUGUUAUGAACUGGAAUCCACUGCUUGGCAGGGAAGUAAACUCAUUAACUUUCAAAAGGAAAUCUGAGAUAAACUUGAAACGAAAAAAAAUGGGAAGGAAGAAAAAUGAGAAGGAGAGCAGAAUUAUUCAGUUAGCCCUUUAUGUAAUAAAAAUUUAAUUUUAAAGAUUUAUUUUAAAAUUGGGUAAAAAUUGGAAUGGACAGUGGCAUACAAGGUGAGAAAUCGUUUAGAUCUUGUUGAUGUCUUCUACAUUUGUACUAUUAAUGUCGCUAGUGUAAAAUUAAUGUACCAGUUAUAAAUAUACAGUAAUAUUUUAACCAUUUGUUAAGUAGUUUUUGAAGUGAAGAACCACAGGAAAACUAUCCCUGUUGGUUAUUGGACACCAUAAUAUUUUAGAAUAGAUGAUUUAAAGCUAUUCUAAAAUCCAUUAAGAACUAAACCAGCCCCAUUUUAGAUUUCAUAGUCAUUAAAUUAUGCUUACUAUUAAUUAUGUUUUUGUAGCAGAAGAAGUUUCAACAUCUUGGAAGGAUUAUUUUUCCAUUACAUAAUUCCACUAAUUGGUUCUUUGAAAAGUAUACCAGUUCUCAUCUUUCCCUCAGUCUUCUACAAAUGCAAAGAUAAUUCAGUUUCCGUUACUUAGUCUGUUAGGUGCCAGCUCUUUAAACAAAUGUAAAAAGAGCCUUUAUGCUUAUUUUUGUUAUGUUUAGUUUACUCCAUUAUUUAUAGGAAGGGGAAAUGUUAACAGGUUGAGUUCAGAUAACAUUUGUGAACCAUUUGUAUAAGCAGUAUACAAGACUGAAACUUAAUAAAAAGGUCUGAAUCAGCUCUGCAAAGCAAAGUGUUAUCCUAUGUACUCAACAGGAGUUUGUCAUUGCUGAUUUUUGUAUUUUCACAAAUAUAACCCAUAAAUGACACCUCUGUAUUAUUAAAAUGAUGAAGAGCUAAAGGCUAAUAUUCAUGUAGAAUGGCACAAGCGUAUGGAUAAUCUUCUACAAAUUCUGUGCAUUUAUUCAGGUGCACACCAAUAUAGACUAAGUAACAAUGUGCAGAUAUGCAUGAAAGAAUCUUGUGUGAUCCCUCAGAAAUGGAAUGGUGUUUUAUGCUUACCAGCAUAUAUUAGCCAGCUAUUCUCCAGAUAGUCUGUUCCCAAUUAUAUGAUGUCUACACAAACAGAUGCAAGAGUUAAAUAAGGAUAUUAAUAUUUUGCCAACCUCCACUCUGUUGUUUUUAAAAAUGAUAAAAAGCCCUUACUAAGUAUUUCUUAAGAACAAUGUAUAGCAAAUGACUCAAAGGGCAUUCCAAAAUGGUACAAAAAUGGAUCUACUUAUUGAAUUUCAUGUUGCUUUAUAAUUUGAAAUAGAUAUGUACAAUAUGCAGUAUUUGCCUAAAAAAAUCAAUAAAUAUGAUUUUUUUAAGAAAAUGACUGUCCUUUAUUUAUCUAUUGUGCAUUUUAUUAUCACCAUUCUAAUUGUUACUGUUUUAAAUGUUGAGCAGAGCAACAAAUUUAAUCCUGUAUUGUUCAGUUAGGAUGCUCAUUUGAAAUGGUUAAUGAAGUUCUGUGCAAAAAAUAUUAAACAGCCUCAUUAUUUAUUAUAGUGUGUAUAGAAUUUUAAUGAAAUUCUAUAAUGUUAAAUCACUACAAUGUUAAAUACAAGAAAAUAGUUUUGGAGUGGUUGAUUAAUA